AGUGAACGCUGGCGGCGUGCUUAACACAUGCAAGUCGAACGAGAACGGAUUAUAGCUUGCUAUAAUUGUCAGCUAAGUGGCGCACGGGUGAGUAAUGUAUAGGUAAUAUGCCUCUUACUAAGGGAUAACAAAUGGAAACGUUUGCUAAUACCUUAUACUCCUUAUUAACAGAAGUUAAUAAGGGAAAGAUUUAUUGGUAAGAGAUUAGCCUGUAUUGUAUCAGUUAGUUGGUGGGGUAAUGGCUUACCAAGACUAUGACACAUAACUGGUUUGAGCGGAUGAUCAGUCACACUGGAACUGAGACACGGUCCAGACUCCUACGGGAGGCAGCAGUGGGGAAUAUUGCACAAUGGACGAAAGUCUGAUGCAGCAACGCCGCGUGGAGGAUGACACAUUUCGGUGCGUAAACUCCUUUUAUAUGAGAAGAUAAUGACGGUAUUAUAUGAAUAAGCACCGGCUAACUCCGUGCCAGCAGCCGCGGUAAAAC
rnacentral:rRNA from 1 species